GAAUAGGAAAGUUGUAAGAGCUCCGAGGGAGCUAUUCCUUUUGUGGCGGUGGCAUCAAAACCGGAGCACUCUCCAACCAAUACCAUACAUCCACACAAGAGGAUCUACCCCUUAUCGACUCUAGGAGUACACAAUCAUAGAGCUUGAGCGAUUUUCAUUUGGGUAUCAAAAGAUCUUACUGAUACCAUGAAUUGAACUCAGGGAAGACUUCUUCAGCUCACAAUUGAAUGAGCAACGACAUGCUAAUACCACUGUAGAGGGAUCCAGAACAGCAUGUACGUCCUCAUCUUCAACUUAUCACCCAGUGCGUUAGUUUUGAAUUUGCAAAUGUUGUUGGGGUUGCCCUUGAAUGUGUGUUACCAUUUGGUUCUGAUUGUUGCUGCUAUUUGACCUUGUCUGCCCAAAUGUUCUUCGAUUUUGACACUUCUUAAAUCUCAAGUUUGGGACAUUAGCCUUUUCCAACUGAAUUAUACCUUUUGCUUUAUUUGGAAUCCCUUGUGUUGAGUUGAAUUGAAAUUUGUUAGUACCUGCAAAACUGAAAAUAUAGUUAGUAAAAAAAUUUGCCAAUUGA